CUCUAAGGAGUGAUUGCUGAAGAGUAUGAUUCAUCAGAGAAGUGAUGUGAAAAGAUAAAUUGCUUCCCCCCAAAACUAAAGGGACAGACAGGUGGAUAUAGAGAAUCACAGUUUACCAGGAGCAGAAACUCAACAGGAGAAGCUGGAAGCUGGAGCCAUUAUUGGAUGAAUGAAGGAGGUUUCUAACAUCUGGUUUCUAACAUCUCUGCUCUGACAGUGCUCAGAGCCACCGGAGCCUCACAUACAGUCGAAGUCAUUGGUAGCUUCUGGAGAAAGAGCACUUGAACAUCUUCAAAAUGCCAGCGUUUUUCCAGGGAAUAAUAUCCAUGUGUCUCAAAGUGAAAAUUAAAUCCAAACUUCCUUCAUCAUCAAACACUUGCUGUUCCUCUUUUAAAACUUGGUGAAUCUGGUGCUCAUGAAAACAUGGGUUAGUGAGGAUCAGUGCAAAAGGCCAAGUAGCACAUGUCUUCUUUCUACUCUUUGACGCUUCAUUUUCAUGGCUCUAAUAAUUCCCCAAUAGAAUAAAAGCAAACAGUGAAACAAAAAAGAUAUAGAAAUGAUGCUGACAAAG